GAUGAACGCUGGCGGCGUGCCUAAUACAUGCAAGUCGAGCGAACAGAUGAGGAGCUUGCUCCUCUGACGUUAGCGGCGGACGGGUGAGUAACACGUGGAUAACCUACCUAUAAGACUGGGAUAACUUCGGGAAACCGGAGCUAAUACCGGAUAAUAUAUUGAAUCGCAUGGUUCAAUAGUGAAAGACGGUUUUGCUGUCACUUAUAGAUGGAUCCGCGCCGCAUUAGCUAGUUGGUAAGGUAACGGCUUACCAAGGCAACGAUGCGUAGCCGACCUGAGAGGGUGAUCGGCCACACUGGAACUGAGACACGGUCCAGACUCCUACGGGAGGCAGCAGUAGGGAAUCUUCCGCAAUGGGCGAAAGCUUGACGGAGCAACGCCGCGUGAGUGAUGAAGGUCUUCGGAUCGUAAAACUCUGUUAUUAGGGAAGAACAAAUGUGUAAGUAACUAUGCACGUCUUGACGGUACCUAAUCAGAAAGCCACGGCUAACUACGUG
rnacentral:rRNA from 1 species